UUUAAUUUUUAAAAAUUCCUUGUCUUUGUGGUGGAAAAAGGAUGAAACUGAAAGGGGGAAGAAGUGGAAAGGAAAAGACAGAAGAAUGGGAAAGCAAAAAAGAGAGACUGCUUACCAAAACAGCGGGUGGUGUGCAUCUGUGGGCUGGUCUGCUGACCUCAGGUCAGUAGGUAGAUCUCUUCAAGGAGGGAGCACCAGAACAGGAACAGGGGUUUGGUCUCCCGUAGGAGUUCCCCCGUCCCGGGCUUCGGCACCAAAUGUUUAAAACGUGCGCUUUGAAUGAAGAGACCCUCAAAUAGGUUUUGUGUGAGCAACACGGCUGUUUAUUCACCUGGGUGCAGGUGGGCUAAGUCCGAAAAGAAUAUGACCAAAUUCUUUCAGUCAUAUUGGCCCCUGCUGCCUGCAGGCACUGUGGAAGGAUGAUGCUCACUUGCUUCCUGGUAACCAGCUCUCUUACCUCAAACCUCAACCCUCAGGGAGGAUAACAGGACCUGCGAAGGGCAGCUCAGCCUGGAAACAGCCCCAGAGGAGUGAGAUUGCUGGUCCUCUCCCGGGAUCCCAGGCCCAGGGCAAACCCAGCCGCACUUGCAGCCAGGAGAGGGCAGGCAACAGAGCCCAGGCCCCCCUUCAGCCUCCUUAGCCAGGAGGGUAUGUCCCAUUUCCUUCAGAGUUGGGAGGCACCCUAGAAUCACUUAGCUUCAGAUGCCAAAUUCCAUCCAUUCUUUCCUCCAACUUUGUGGCAGUGGGAAUCUGCCUUUACAGGCAGGGCAGCUCUGAUGACUGCCUCCAGGAGGAAGCCCUGGGCACCAAUGAAGGAGAUGGAGUAGCAGCAGAUCUCUCGGUCCUGGAUGGCAGACAGAUUCCUGGGGGAAACCAGAGCAGAGUCGGCUGAAGCCAUGAUCGCCCGGGGGGUCUGGGGCUAGGGGACAGCAGGGCCUUUUUCUUACUCAGGAGGCUACAACAGGGAGGGUGAGGCUCCUGAAAAGGUGGGCUCUGCCGCCGCCGUGUGGCUAAUCCUGAGAACAGCAGCAAGCCUCAGCUGUCGGUCUGGCGGUUGGGGAAUUGGGAGAGCAGAAAGUAAUAUAAAGAGCCACCCAACUCA